rnacentral:rRNA from 1 species
UACAGAGGGUGCGAGCGUUAAUCGAAAUUACUGGGCGUAAAGCGCACGUAGGCGGCUUGGUAUGUCGGGUGUGAAAUCCCCGGGCUCAACCUGGGAACUGCAUCCGAAACUGCCUUGCUCGAGUAUGGGAGAGGGAAGUGGAAUUUCCGGUGUAGCGGUGAAAUGCGUAGAUAUCGGAAGGAACAUCAGUGGCGAAGGCGACUUCCUGGACCAAUACUGACGCUCAGGUGCGAAAGCGUGGGGAGCAAACAGG